rnacentral:rRNA from 1 species
GAUGAACGCUGGCGGCGUGCCUAAUACAUGCAAGUCGAGCGAACAGACGAGGAGCUUGCUCCUCUGACGUUAGCGGCGGACGGGUGAGUAACACGUGGAUAACCUACCUAUAAGACUGGGAUUACUUCGGGAAACCGGAGCUAAUACCGGAUAAUAUAUUGAACCGCAUGGUUCAAUAGUGAAAGACGGUUUUGCUGCCACUUAUAGAUGGAUCCGCGCCGUAUUAGCUAGUUGGUAAGGUAACGGCUUACCAAGGCAACGAUGCGUAGCCGACCUGAGAGGGUGAUCGGCCACACUGGAACUGAGACACGGUCCAGACUCCUACGGGAGGCAGCAGUAGGGAAUCUUCCGCAAUGGGCGAAAGCCUGACGGAGCAACGCCGCGUGAGUGAUGAAGGUCUUCGGAUCGUAAAACUCUGUUAUUAGGGAAGAACAAAUGUGUAAGUAACUAUGCACGUCUUGACGGUACCUAAUCAGAAAGCCACGGCUAACUACGUG